UUUAUAGAUCUAAGCAACCUGUGAAGAAUCUCCCCAAGUAUCAUUUUAUUCACCACCGUUUGGAGAAAACCAAUGUAUUGAAUGAUCAAAAUUACAUAGAGCAACAUGAGACAGCUAUUGCUCAGUACGCCUCUAUUCCUAAACCAAUAGGAUCAUUACAUUACUGGGCUUCGUGAUGUUAAACAAGAACUAGUUCGGUAUGGUACAUUUUAUAUCGCUACAAAUAUAUGGGUUAUAAACACUAGUUUAGUUACAUAGCCAUAGGGAUUACAUAGUUGGAACGGCAGCAACCAUGCAGAU
rnacentral:lncRNA from 1 species